UACGAAGGGGGCUAGCGUUGCUCGGAAUCACUGGGCGUAAAGGGUGCGUAGGCGGGUCUUUAAGUCAGGGGUGAAAUCCUGGAGCUCAACUCCAGAACUGCCUUUGAUACUGGCGAUCUCGAGUCCGGGAGAGGUGAGUGGAACUGCGAGUGAGAGGUGAAAUCGUAGAUAUUCGCAAGAACACCAGUGGCGAAGGCGGCUCACUGGCCCGGUAUGACGCUGAGGUGCGAAAGCGUGGG
rnacentral:rRNA from 1 species